UAAAAUAAUACAUUUAUUUGUUUAAAAACCAAGAAUCCAAGAAGAUGAAGUAGAAGCUUUUUAAAGGUGAUUUUUUGUUAUUCAACUUAUAGUAAAGUUUGUUAGUGUCUUCUAAAUUACACAGUUUACAUUUAAGGGAUCAAAUCAAAAUUAGAAAGAAACAAUAAAAAAAAAAACAAAAAAAUAGAAAGACUGACAAAAUAUAUCACAAGGAAAGAAAAACUUUGGGCCCUUUUGUUUCUGGGCCUGUCCACUACAUUAGCUUUUAC
rnacentral:lncRNA from 1 species